rnacentral:rRNA from 1 species
UGGGGAAUAUUGGACAGUGGGCGCAAGCCUGAUCCAGCCAUGCCGCGUGAGUGAUGAAGGCCUUAGGGUUGUAAAGCUCUUUCACCCACGACGAUAAUGACGGUAGUGGGAGAAGAAGCCCCGGCUAACUUCGUGCCAGCAGCCGCGGUAAUACGAAGGGGGCUAGCGUUGCUCGGAAUCACUGGGCGUAAAGGGCGCGUAGGCGGCCGAUCAAGUCAGGGGUGAAAGCCUGUGGCUCAACCACAGAAUUGCCUUUGAUACUGUUCGGCUCGAGACCGGAAGAGGUUGGUGGAACUGCGAGUGUAGAGGUGAAAUUCGUAGAUAUUCGCAAGAACACCAGUGGCGAAGGCGGCCAACUGGUCCGGUUCUGACGCUGAGGCGCGAAAGCGUGGGGAGCAAACAGGAUUAGAUACCCUGGUGGUCCACGCCGUAAACGAUGAAUGCCAGCCGUUGGGCAGCUUGCUGCUCAGUGGCGCAGCUAACGCUUUAAGCAUCCGCCUGGGGAGUACGGUCGCAAGAGUUAAAACUCAAAUGAAUUG